rnacentral:rRNA from 1 species
GAAAACGACUCUCGGCAACGGAUAUCUCGGCUCUCGCAUCGAUGAAGAACGUAGCGAAAUGCGAUACUUGGUGUGAAUUGCAGAAUCCCGUGAACCAUCGAGUCUUUGAACGCAAGUUGCGCCCGAAGCCCUUUGGCCGAGGGCACGCCUGCCUGGGUGUCGUG